AUCCAGCUGACCAGUCCAAAAUAGGACGAAACGCGCCUCCCAGAU
rnacentral:hammerhead_ribozyme from 1 species